rnacentral:rRNA from 1 species
UACGAAGGGGGCUAGCGUUGCUCGGAAUUACUGGGCGUAAAGCGCACGUAGGCGGUCUUUUAAGUCAGGGGUGAAAUCCUGGAGCUCAACUCCAGAACUGCCUUUGAUACUGAGGAUCUUGAGUUCGGGAGAGGUGAGUGGAACUGCGAGUGUAGAGGUGAAAUUCGUAGAUAUUCGCAAGAACACCAGUGGCGAAGGCGGCUCACUGGCCCGAUACUGACGCUGAGGCACGAAAGCCGUGGGGAGCAAACAGGG